rnacentral:rRNA from 1 species
UACGGGGGGGCAAGCGUUAUUCAAAUUGACUGGGCGUAAAGAGCACGUAGGCGGUUUCUUAAGUUUUGAAUGGAAAAAGCCAAGGCUUAACCAUGGUUUUUCCAAGUAGACUAUUAAACUAGAGGAAGGGAGAGGAGAGUGGAAUUCCUGGAGGAAAGGUUAAAUUUGUAGAUCUCAGGAGGAAGAUCGAAAGCAAAGGCAACUCUCUGGCCCUUACUGACGCUGAGGUGCGAAAGCAUGGGAGCGAAGAGG